GACGAACGCUGGCGGCGUGCUUAACACAUGCAAGUCGAACGGUGAAGCGCCUUCCUUUUUGGUGGGUGUGGAUGAGUGGCGAACGGGUGAGUAACACGUGAGUAACCUGCCCCCUUCUUCUGGAUAACCGCAUGAAAGUGUGGCUAAUACGGGAUAUUCUGGGUCUGUCGCAUGAUGGGUCUGGGAAAGAUAUUGUUUCGGUGGGGGAUGGGCUCGCGGCCUAUCAGCUUGUUGGUGGGGUGAUGGCCUACCAAGGCGGUGACGGGUAGCCGGCCUGAGAGGGUGGACGGUUACACUGGGACUGAGACGCGGCCCAGACUCCUACGGGAGGCAGCGGUGGGGAAUAGUGCACAGUGGGAGCAAGCAUGAUGCAGCGACGCCGCGUGAGAGAUGGAGGCCUGCGGGUUGUGAACCUCUUUCGCCAGUGAAGCAGGCCUGCCUCGUUUGUGGGUGGGUUGACGGUAGCUGGAGAAGAAGCGCCGGCUAACUACGUG
rnacentral:rRNA from 1 species